CGCCUCCUGCUGACCUAUAGGAGGUCCAGCCUGCCCAGUGACAAAGUUUAACGGCCUCGGUACCCUAACCGCGCGAAGGUAGCAUAAUCACUUGUUCUUUAAAUAGGGACUUGUAUCAACGGCAUCACGAGGGCUAGACUGUCUCCCCUCCCUAAUCAGUGAACCUGACCUCUUCGUGAAAAGGCGAAGAUACCCAUAUAAGACGAGAAGACCCCAUGGAGCUUAAAACUAAGUAGCACUCUCUUAUAUAUGCACCUUAAAAAACAAGAGAACUGUUACCUACUUUUGGCUGGGGCAUCCAGGGAGUCUAGCAUAACCUCCUUGACGAAUCAUCUUAGAACUACUAUUCCAAGAAGCAGCAAACUGAAGUAAUAUGACCCGAUUAAUCGAUCAACGAACCAAGUUACCCUGGGGAUAACAGCGCAAUCCAUUUCAAGAGCUCUUAUCGACAAAUGGGUUUACGACCUCGAUGUUGGAUCAGGGUACCCCAGUGGUGCAGCCGCUACUAAAGGUUCGUUUGUUCAACGAUUAAAACCCU
rnacentral:rRNA from 1 species